GGGUUUAGUGUCAUGGCGGCGUGCUGAAGGUCUACGCAGAAUUUAAAGCUGUAUAUUUUCUGAUGUUUUUAAAGUCAAGAACAAACUGAAAGCAGCCGAUUUACUGGAGACAUCAUGGUUAAUGAUUUKGUGAAGUGGAACAACAGAAUGUCCGCGCUCUACGCUCUGGGCAUCUGGACCUCCAUCGGAGCUUACGCAUUUUUAAAGAAAACAGGUCGUAUAGCGGACAGUCCAGAACAAACAAAGUUGGAAGAAGUUAAAGAGAACUCAAAUGAAGUAAUCUACCAGAAUCGUUAUAUGACGACRAUCAUCAGCCAAAAAGAGAACUUUGUCCCGUACACGACACGGCUCUACAAUUAUAUUACAUCCUUCAUGGAUGAAACCAAGUCUGAAAAAUAAACCAGCCGAAGGCUCUGUGAAGACGUCACGUCGGCUUGGAGAUGAAGCUGUCAGCAAAACAAAGAACUGUUUUUAUUUCCUGAAUCUUCGGUCAUUUAGCUUCAUCGACUGUUUUGAAUGGUUGAGUUUCUCAUCAGUUCAGUUUUAUUUUUCUGUUCCACUGAAUAAAAACUGCAAAACAAAGAUCUUUAUCCAUCAAUUAAUUUAGUUUCUAAGAUUUAAGUUCUGUACGUCACAGAAAAAAAAGACAGCUCUGUAAUCCCAACAAAAAAUGUGUGUAAAAAUAAAAACAAGUUUAUGGUG